AAUUAAAUGAAACAAAACUGAUAUAUUUUCCCAUCUUUGGGGAAGAUAUCAGUUACCAUGGGGGAAGAUAUCAGUUGCCAUGGGGGAAGAUAUCAGUUACCAUGGGGGAAGAUAUCAGUUACCAUGGGGAAAGAUGGCACAACACGAGGUUUACAAGAGCAAAGAAAAACACAUUUAAAAGAAAAUUUUAUACACUUACAGACAUUUACAGAAUGCAACUUUGCCAUGCAAAAAAAAAGAAUGGAAGAAAGCUCGCUAUUCCCUAGCAUUUUUUGCAAGUGGAAUUGUCUUUACUACAAAUUUCAUGCGGCCAUUUCUUGCAUUUAAUGCAUCCAGUCCAGUCACAUUU
rnacentral:lncRNA from 1 species